AAAGCGAAGAUCCUUACCAGGGCUUGAACAUAUUGGUCUCAAGAUAAAUGUGAAAGCAUUUUGUGUUGUAAGGCUUGCCUUACAUAGUCAGUACAGGUGCUGCAUGGCUGUCGUCAGCUCGUGCCGUGAGGUGUCCGGUUAAGUCCGGUAACGAGCGCAACCCCUAUGUUUAGUUGCCAGCACGUAAGGUGGGAACUCUAAAGAGACUGCCGGCGACAAGCCGGAGGAAGGCGGGGACGACGUCAAGUCAUCAUGGCCCUUAUGCCUUGGGCUACACACAUGCUACAAUGGCGGAUACAAUGGGUUGCCAAACCGUGAGGUGGAGCCAAUCCCAUCAAAGUCCGUCUCAGUUCGGAUUGCAGGUUGCAACUCGCCUGCAUGAAGUUGGAAUCGCUAGUAAUCGUGGAUCAGCACUGCCACGGUGAAUACGUUCCCGGGCCUUGCACACACCGCCCGUCACACCACGAAAGUCGGUUCUGCCCGAAGUGGUUGAGCUAACCCGCAAGG
rnacentral:rRNA from 1 species